AAUGAACGUUGGCGGCGUGGAUUAGGCAUGCGAGUCGCGCGAGAAUGUAGCAAUACAGGAAAGCGGCGAAAGGGAGAGGAAUAGGUGGGAAUCUGCCCCUGGAUCGGGGAUAGCUACGGGAAACUGUAGGUAAUACCCGAUAACGUCUAUGGACCAAAGGUGUGAUUCCGUCUGGGGAUGAGCCCACCUCCUAUUAGCUAGUUGUUAGGGUAAUGGCCUAACAAGGCAUUGAUGGGUAGCUGGUGUGAGAGCACGACCAGCCUCACUGGCACUGAGACACUGGCCAGACACCUACGGGUGGCUGCAGUCGAGAAUCUUCGGCAAUGGACGAAAGUCUGACCGAGCGACGCCGCGUGCGGGACGAAGGCCUUCGGGUUGUAAACCGCUGUCGUAGGGGAUCAAAGGUAUUGGGGUUCUCCCCUUUAUUUGAGAGAUCCUAGGAGGAAGGAGAGGCUAAGCUCG
rnacentral:rRNA from 1 species